rnacentral:tRNA from 1 species
GGAAUUUAGCUCAGUGGUAGAGCGCUUGCCUAGCAAGCGCAAGGCCCUGGGUUCGAACCCCAGCUCCG